AGAUCAAGUAGGUUUUUUUCCAGUGGUGGGAGUUGCCUCUGCAAAGUUUUAAGCGAAUGUCUUGUGACAUACAGUGCUAUCCCCAGAUUUUGAUCUUAAUUUGCUGAUUGAAAUUGCUCCGGGUCUUGCUUUCUUUUCUUAUUUGCUUAGUGUUUUUCUCCUCUCCUUCCUUUUGGUGGUGUUGGUGAGCUAUUUAUAGACGGGCUUGGAGCGAGCAGCUCGUAUGCAAAUCUUCAAGAGAGAUCUUCUUUUGGUGGUGUUGGACCUAAUUACAAGAUGACAAAGUUCAAGAUUGGGUAGUGGGGCAUCAAGAUUUUACAUAUUUGUACUCAAAAGAUAUAGCUUUAUUGGAUUUUUCCUUUGUGUUCCUAUGAAUUCAACAUGUGUUUC